rnacentral:lncRNA from 1 species
AUUUCUGGACUAUUAUCCUUUAAGUUGUGUCCGUCUGUCGUUUAAGCCACGCAGUGAACGGUUUCCCACCAAUCACCUAGUGCCAUGUGGCACAUCCACAGCAGCCGCGGCAGUGCUUCCAAGAACGCUGCCAUGGUACAAUUUUUCUGGAGGAUCAGAACUAAGCGUUGGAGUACUUCAACACCUUUCAAGGCAAGUAUGCACAUUUAAUUUUGCUUAUCCUAUAUUCUGCUAUGUGUGUGUGGUUUUAUGCUAUGCUAUAUGUUUGGCUUCAUAUGUGUAUUCCGUGUUACCAUGUUUUGCUGUUGAUUGUGGUAUGUGAUGGGGUGAUCAACUUGCUAUGGUAGACGCGGGCAUGUGUCGAGUGAUCCAUGAAAGUGGCACAUGUUUAUAGACGUAGGCUUGGGAUAAUUAACUAGGUGAAUGCAUCACUAGCAGAGCGCUCUAUUGUCCCUAGAGAAUGCACCAUUGAUAGAGCGCACUUGAGGAGAAGUAUAGUUUUCUGAACUUAAAUCAGGUGAAUGCGUCCUUGGCAGAGCGCUCUAUUGUUCCUAGAGAAUGCGCCACUGACUAGCGCACUUGAGAAAUACUUCUGAAGUUCUUGUCAUGUUUAUUUAGAAUCUUUGGGUUAUCUUGGGCAAGUAAAUUAGAGACGGUUGUGAGUUCAGGUAGUGGAGGUAGGUGAAGACAUUCUUCUCCAAACUAACUUGUGUGUUUUGUCAUACAUCGCUUUGUGGAUGUAGGUUUGCUAAAUCAUAUUGUGUGAUUUGCCAAUACAUUCAAUGUAUUGACCCUUUGUGGCUGCAACUUAUUAUGUUGUAGGAUUUCAGUUGAUCAGUGAUAUAUAGUAGGGUCGCGAGUCUUCACUCGGCAUUUUCUCUAGUGGGCAUUGAUGGGACUCAUCAUUUGCUUAUGCUACAUUUCCGCUGUUAUUAUUGAAUAAGUUAGUCAUGUGCUAUUCAGUUUGUAAUACUUUAUAGUUUCUGGAUCAUACAUUAUAGUAAACGAUGCACUUGUUAUUUGAUAUUCAUAUGUACUAUGUGUGCUAGCGAGUCGAUCCAGGGACUAGCACAGUGAGCACAGACACAACAAAUCUUAUCAGGUUCGGAUCAUUACAGAUGGUAUCAGAGCAAUGUGUUGAUUGUAGGUCUUGACCCUAGAAAAUGGAUUAGAAAAGCCAUAGGAGUGAAAAACUUAAUUUACAACUUGUCGUCUACUUGUUAGUUCAUACUCUUGUACUCAUAUCUUUUCUUUUCAAGUAUAGACGACCCCUGGAAUUAUAUUAGUGUCAUUUACAGAGUUUUAGUUGACAGACCACCAUUCCUAAGUUGUGUUCGAUAAAAGAUUUGAUGUAGUAUGAUGAGAUCAUAUCUCUUGUGGAUAUGACCUUGCCUGUAGGUUUUGCUUGUGUUGUGUGAUAUGUCAUAUGUUUGGUUGGUCAUUGCUUUCUGUGUUGUCAUAUUUCAUGAAUUGUUUGUAUUAUGCAAUUGGAUGCUUGAUUGAUCAUAUGUGCUCUUUUGAUGUGAUUACUUUAGCAUAGUUUUGGUGACUUGUGUGAAUUGUGUGAAUUUAGUGUUUGUUUUUGUAGGAUAGUUUUCGGAACUUAAAUCAGAUGAAUGAGUCCUUGGUAUAGCGCUCUAUUGUUCCUAGAGAAUGCGCCACUGACAUAGCGCACUUGAGAAAUACUUCUGAAGUUCUUGUCAUGUUUAGGCUGUGUUCGGACUGGAGGAAAGCAGAGCAAAGGAAUGGGAAAAGGUACAGGAAGUGAGGUUGGGUGUACAGUACAAAUCAUAGGUCUCCAAAGUAGAGGAAUAGAAAAAUGAGGUGUGUUCGCAUCACAGGAAGCUUUCUAGCAGUUGCCUUGAGUUUUGACCAUUACACAUACUAGCCAUUGCACUACCUUUGCUCUAUACUCCCACCGUAAACUAAUACUCCCUCCGUCCGAAAAUACUUUUCAUCAAAAUGAAUAAAAAUGGAUGUAUCUAGAACUAAAAUAUGUCUAGAUACAUCUCUUUUUAUCCAUUUUGAUGACAAGUAUUUCCGGACGGAGGGAGUAUAAGAGUGUUUAGAUCACUAAAGUAGUGAUCUAAACGCUCUUAUAUUAGUAUGCAGAGGGAGUAUAUACGUACAGAUACACAAGCUUAAGAACACACAUCGCACAGCCAACCAUUCCCACAGCCAUUCUUCACUGCUGAGUUCAUUUCAACAUCACAUUUCUCAUUCAAGCGAUGAAUCCAAACUACCGUAGGCGAUCAGAAAAUGAAGAUGAAUUCGUUUUUCUCAUACAUCCUACAUUAGAAGGUAGCAUCUCAUCCACAAAAAUGCCAAUGCAUACAUCCAUCCUCACAGGAUCCACAUACAUGCAUGAAACACUUACCGGCCAUGAGGUCUUGUGCCAUCAUGUUCUUUCAAGAGCCAAAUAAGAUAUGACUUCAUUUUGUGAUUCCAUCUAGCUCUAGCACAAUUUUUGUUGGUGCCUAAUGACAGGAAAAGGGCAAUUUUAGUAAUAGUUAGUGAAUAACAUGUUAACUGCUUAUAUGCGCAUACAAGUUCAGUCUUCCUAAUGCUCUGGAUCCAUAAUAUAGUUUGCUAAAUAAUCUCAAAGAAUUUUUAAGAUAGCUAGGAAUGCCAUGCUAUACCUGCACAAUGUUAACUGCUGAUGCAGUGAUAUAUGUAUACAUCAGUGCAUGUAUGCUUGCCUAAUUUGUGGUAAAAAAAUAUUAUCUGAAGAUGAUGUAUACAUCAGUGCAUGUAUGCUUGCCUAAUUUGUGGUAAAAAUAUAUUAUCUGAAGAUGAUGUAUGCACACUACCAUUUAACUAAUCAGAACUAUAUGAUACUACUUGGAAACACACAGGCAGUGGCGGAGUGUGUGAGCUGAAUUUAAGUGGGGGCCAAACAAGGGCACGCCCCCAAAACGGCUGGAGAGACUAGAGAGGCCGAGUGAUUAGAGGGGCCGGUGAUUAGAAGUGAGUUUAGCUUUGGAUUUGUGUUUUCUUUUGCAACAAAUUCAUUCUAAAGGGGAGGCCAGGACCCGGGAUGAUACCACCAACGCCCCAGCACACUGGAGCACUCGAAUCAAACUAAUCAGAUUACCACACUAUACAAAGAGAAACAUAUAUGUCCUAAUAAAAAAAUUGAACACCAGAUUGAGAUUUCUAAAUGAGAGAGCAAGAUGUAUGAAGCGAAUUACCUAUUUCUUGCAAGAUCUCCUCACUUCACCCAAAUUUCAGAUCUUCCAACCCUUGUGUCGAUAGAACGGGGGGUGGAGCUCGAAGGACACAGGGAGGGGGUGGAUGAGGUGGAGGAGGAGGAGGAGGAGGAGUAGGUGCUCGGAUCUGCCGGGUGGGCAUGCUGCACCGGUGGUCAUCCAUGUCGAUUUCGCGCGAAGCUCACGGGAGAAGGGCGCGGUAUGGGGCUGGAGAGUGAUGGAGCGAGAGGAGGGUUUUCACCGGGCGU